CUUAAAUUGAAGAGUUUGAUCAUGGCUCAGAUUGAACGCUGGCGGCAGGCCUAACACAUGCAAGUCGAGCGGAAACGAGUUGUCUGAACC
rnacentral:rRNA from 1 species